CCUACGGGAGGCAGCAGUGGGGAAUAUUGGACAAUGGGGGCAACCCUGAUCCAGCCAUGCCGCGUGUGUGAAGAAGGCCCUCGGGUUGUAAAGCACUUUCAGUGAGGAAGAACGCCUGGUGGUUAAUACCCAUCAGGAAAGACAUCACUCACAGAAGAAGCACCGGCUAACUCCGUGCCAGCAGCCGCGGUAAUACGGAGGGUGCGAGCGUUAAUCGGAAUUACUGGGCGUAAAGCGCGCGUAGGUGGCUUGAUAAGCCGGUUGUGAAAGCCCCGGGCUCAACCUGGGAACGGCAUCCGGAACUGUCAAGCUAGAGUGCAGGAGAGGAAGGUAGAAUUGCCGGUGUAGCGGUGAAAUGCGUAGAGAUCGGGAGGAAUACCAGUGGCGAAGGCGGCCUUCUGGACUGACACUGACACUGAGGUGCGAAAGCGUGGGUAGCAAACAGGAUUAGAUACCCUGGUAGUA
rnacentral:rRNA from 1 species